CUACCGAUCUGAGAACCCAAAAGAAGAAUAAAGAAAAAGAAAAUGCAAGAACUUAAAUGAAAACAGCUCAGCUAAAUCCCAAAUAACUAAUCUAAUAAGAGGUAAAAACACACAAGCGAAAAUGUGUUAAGAUCUGGAACUAGAAAAAACAAGAAAAUGGGAUAAAAAUCUCAAUUGAAAAGAGCAUACCUAAAUGGAAGAAGAAGAAAACU
rnacentral:misc_RNA from 1 species